rnacentral:rRNA from 14 species
UGUCUAGGCCAAACCACCCCGAACAUGCCCAAUCUUGUCUAAUCUCAGAAGCUAAGCAGUGUCGGACCUGGUUAAUACUUGGAUGGGAGAAUUCAAAGGUCUUCACAA